GAAGCCUGCUCUAGUGGGGGCGGGGAGAGUAGUGACGGUGGUGGUGGCCGAGUCCGUGAGCAGUGUCCAGCCUGCUGACCACAGCAACUGAGCCCCUCCCGAUGCCGUGACUGGCCGCUACGAUGAGUCAGUAGUCCGUCAGCGGCCGCCAGUGUGGGCUGGCUCGGACACUACUAUUGAUUACGAGCGGUAGGAGCUGGUGGAGCAGCCGAGCUGCCCGGCAUGGCGGAUAGCGCCGCGCUCCGCCGUCUCUCUUCUCUGGUGGCCUCUCCAGUCGCUCACUUGGAUACUUAUGUCGACGCCCAGAAGCUGUGAGACGCGGCCGUCACGCCCACGCCCGCAGGAAGCACCAUGGGCGCCUGCAUAGCCCGCUGCUGGCCACUGAUCGCCGACCCCAGGUACCAUCCAGUGAGAGGCCGCUACUUCAUCCAGGACGACACUGUACAGGCACGGCAGCCUCGCAGACUCUCCAGUCUAACUAGCAGGUGAGUCACGACACACACACACACACACACACACACACACCCACACACACACACACACACAUACACACACACACACACACCACACAGUAUUCAUAUACUCAUCAGAAGCUAACCUUGAACUCAUCCAAGUCGUUUCAUCACUUCCAGUUAACACUUGAAGCUCUCAAACGCAGCUAUCUGUCAAGUAUUUACGUAUCCACUUGCGAAACCUAUACAUCGUUUCUCAGCCAUGGCGGCUUUGUUUAAUUUAUUAAUUGUAUGAACUUCAUAAUAAAACGAGCAUGGAUUCGUAAUGAAUGAAUCUUGGUCGUGGGAUAUACACAAAUGAACUAUGUAAUAAUCAUGUAUAUCAGGGUCAUGUCUCAUGUGUUUAGCAUAGUUGAUAUGGAUGAAAUGGGGGGUAAAAAAAUGAUUUUAAUGAGAUGAUGAUAAGAGCAGGGAGUCAGGUGGAAGCUGGAGACACAGUUGGGCCAAACAGUUGUGCAUGAAACGCUUGUUUAGUAAACAAGUUUCCAGCAAGUGAGGGAAAAUUUUAGUAAA